rnacentral:misc_RNA from 1 species
UUUCCGUAGGUGAAUCUGCGGAAGGAUCAUUAAUGAGUUGUCAUGGGGUUCGAUGCUGGCAGCCAAUUUUUGGAUGCAUGUGCUUGCCCUAACAAUCAUCUUCCAAACACCUGUGCACAUUUUUGAGGGAGUCUUGAGUUGGUUGCCGCUCUUGGGUGAUUUUCUCACAUUCCCUUAAAUCAUUAUACGCUAUUAACAAUGUUGAUCGUGCUCUGUGCCGCAAGGCUAUUAAUAUAAUACAACUUUUAACAACGGAUCUCUUGGCUCUC